UGAUGAUGAUGAUGAUGAUGAUGAUGAUGAUGAUGAUGAUGAGAAUGGUGAUGAUGAUGAUGAUCAUCAUCAUCAUCACCAUCGUCGUCGUCAUCGUCG
rnacentral:pre_miRNA from 1 species